CUCGUCUUCAGUCUGAAGGUUCACAGCUCCACCUCCUCUGCACCGCCUCAGGAUCCACAGCAGAUCCACCGCAGACGUCAUGACGACGGUCGUCUCCAUCGAAUAUUGCUCAGGAUGAGGUUACUCCGGGCGCUACCUGGCGCUCGCUACUCAGCUGCAGCAGGUUCCUGGUGUGAAGCAGGUGACCGGAGCCACCGGGCGGUCAUCGAGCUUUGAGGUGUCAGUGGAUGGCGAAUUGAUCUUCUCCAAGCUCAAGAAGGGGAAGUUUCCUAAGGAUGCUGACAUCGUGGAGGAGGUGACGAAGAGGAUCAAAGCUAAGAAAAGUAAAACCUAACGGAGGUUAAAAGGUUGUCUUGUAUUCACACUGCGAGAACAACGGUUUGUUUCUUCUCAUGGUCCAGAGCUGCUAAUAUGAAUUAAAAUAUUAAAAUCAAACAUUAAAAAAAAUAGAAUUUGAAUGUCAUUUUGGACCCAAAUCAAAAGCCAUGAGCAGGUCAGACCUUCUCUGCGUCUUCACUGUGAAUACGGACCGGGACGCGGCGAUGGCGAGGGCCGUUCUCUGGGGAGCCGGGCGCUGAUCCGACCUUCUGAUUAUGAAUGUGCGCACUAAAAGUUCUGAGGUGUGCACAUGAUGAAAGUCCAGAAGCUUUUCAGCCGGCCGGCGCCGCAGGAACGGCUCUCGCCUCGUCCGUCUGCUAUUUACUCAGAAAUAUAAAAUCACUACUGCAGCACUCGGGGAAUCUUUAGGCUUCUAUUUUUUUCCAGAUUCCGAUUUACUCGAUGAGAAUAUUGGUACCAUGCGUGUGCUGCUACGGGGAAUAUGAAGCUGCUGCUUGUUAGCUUAGCAUAAAGAACGGAAACGGGUAAAAUCAUAUCAACGUCUGCCUUCUAUCACUUCUAAACUCCUUCUUUUCUCACAAUAUAGAUAUUUUAUACGCAUACUUCGCUUAUAAGCUUUAAUUUUUCAAAUAGAUACACGGACUAUCACCUGAAGAUGUUUUUUUAAAAUAAAGACUACUGCCAUUUGUUACUUAACCAGAUAAAAUAAACUAUAAAUCAAUGAUGAAUGGUAAAUAUGUGAUAUUUAAUUGGACUUGGAGCAUAUUGUUAAAGCUUUUUUUAAACAACUUGUAGUAUUGGUAUAGUGCUGUUAUCUCAUUUGUAAUAAAUUCCAACGAACCAUAAUUUUCUGAAGUGCAAUAAUAAUAAAAAAUAUUGAAAAAUCAA